UCGAGAAUCAUUCACAAUGGGGGAAACCCUGAUGGUGCGACGCCGCGUGGGGGAAUGAAGGUCUUCGGAUUGUAAACCCCUGUCAUGUGGGAGCAAAUUAAAAAGAUAGUACCACAAGAGGAAGAGACGGCUAACUCUGUGCCAGCAGCCGCGGUAAUACAGAGGUCUCAAGCGUUGUUCGGAAUCACUGGGCGUAAAGCGUGCGUAGGCGGUUUCGUAAGUCGUGUGUGAAAGGCGGGGGCUCAACCCCCGGACUGCACAUGAUACUGCGAGACUAGAGUAAUGGAGGGGGAACCGGAAUUCUCGGUGUAGCAGUGAAAUGCGUAGAUAUCGAGAGGAACACUCGUGGCGAAGGCGGGUGCCUGGACAUUAACUGACGCUGAGGCACGAAGGCCAGGGGAGCGAAAGGG
rnacentral:rRNA from 1 species